UACGUAGGUGGCAAGCGUUGUCCGGAAUUAUUGGGCGUAAAGCGCGCGCAGGCGGUCCUUUAAGUCUGAUGUGAAAGCCCACGGCUCAACCGUGGAGGGUCAUUGGAAACUGGGGGGACUUGAGUGCAGAAGAGAAGAGUGGAAUUCCACGUGUAGCGGUGAAAUGCGUAGAGAUGUGGAGGAACACCAGUGGCGAAGGCGACUCUUUGGUCUGUAACUGACGCUGAGGCGCGAAAGCGUGGGGAGCAAACAGG
rnacentral:rRNA from 1 species